rnacentral:rRNA from 1 species
AGCAGUAGCCGCGGUAAUACGUAGGUGGCAAGCGUUGUCCGGAAUUAUUGGGCGUAAAGGGCUCGCAGGCGGUUUCUUAAGUCUGAUGUGAAAGCCCCCGGCUCAACCGGGGAGGGUCAUUGGAAACUGGGAAACUUGAGUGCAGAAGAGGAGAGUGGAAUCCCACGUGUAGCGGUGAAAUGCGUAGAGAUGUGGAGGAACACCAGUGGCGAAGGCGACUCUCUGGUCUGUAACUGACGCUGAGGAGCGAAAGCGUGGGGAGCGAACAGGAUAAGAGACCCGGGUAGUCCCUGUCUCUUAUAC